rnacentral:lncRNA from 1 species
CUGCUUGAAAGUCAUCGAAUAUUGGUUAGGUUGACAUUUUUCAGGUGAAUCAUACUCUCCUGUGCAGCAGAACUGCGGCUGGUUAAAUGCCAAACACGCGCUCUUGCAGGCAAUCACAGUCCCAUCUGAACCUCUCACUGCUAAACUAGGAUCACAAGCAGCAUUCACGUUAGCUGCACAGCUUGUAGAAGGGCAGCCAGUAGAACCUCCUUGCGGGGUUACCGAAAUUGGGAUGUUAAAGCCAUCAACAAGGCUUAUAUCGUAAAAAUCUUUCCCACCAUCACCUCUUAGAGUAAAUUCUGCUAACGAUGCUGGUGGGAUCGCACCGGCUCCAUUGCAUUCUAUGACACCAGAGGCACAGUCAGCAGUAGCACAAACAAACUUUCCCGAGGCAUCUGUAGAGCAUUGCGUUCUGGCCCACAAGCGGCCAGACCAAUUGACAGGGACACUCAGCGAAGAUGAAGCACCCGUUGCCAAUGUGAAGCCAGUUGAAGAUAAAGACGGACCGCCAGCAGCCGUUAGAGUUCCUGGCCAGACUGUGUAUGGACAGUUGUUUGUGAAGACGAAAGUCACAGAUUGAGCUCCUGCAUGCGUGCAAGCUGCGCAAGAUUUAUUUUUGUUGGUAUCAAUAAUUAAAUCUUGGUCGAUCAAAUAAAAACACAAACAAGUUUUAAAUACAUCAAACUCUUGUUUCAUGCUAAUUUAUGUGAAUCUAUUUUUUUUUCAUAUAAAAAGAAUAGGACUUGAAUCUAAGACUUGGCCUUCGUUUUCUCUAUGGGACUAGACGUCCGUACAUAAUUCAAUAUUUAAAAUCUUGUAUUAAUUCAGUUAUUUUUCUUUUAAAAAUAUAACAUAACCCAGGUUUUUUUUUAAUAUAUUUUUUUCUUUCUUGUUUUUUAUCUGGAAACUCUCCCUCCUGGAUAAGUUUAUUGGAUUCACGAAAUCCAUUGAAUAAUGAAAACUAGUUAAUAUUGCAUAUGCAAACAGAAAAUAUAUAUGUAGAAUAAUCAAAGUGAAUAAUAUGCAUAAUAGAGUUUUCCAUGCAAGAAUCUAAUAUAUGUAAUAUUGUAAAAGUACUUGCCAUAGAAGAAGAUGACGAGGGUGCCGAGAUGCGUCGAAUUGCCGAGAUGCGUCGAAUUAACACUUUUUCAGUAUCUUUUAAGAGAUUUGAGGUAAGCAAGAAACACUAUAUUUUAAAAAGAUUGUGUUUGCCACUUAAUAAAUAGUGUUAAAUUUGCACUAUCUCUCCACUUAGUAAACAGCCAAACAGAGGAACACGUGAAAAUCAAGAAGAGAAAAAAAAGAAGAAGAAGAAGAAGAAAAGUUUGUAACAACCAUCUUCCACACGCACCGUCUCAUCCAAGAAAAAGAAUGUCAAAUUAUAAAAUUAUAAUUUAUUUAUAUUUAUAAAAAAAUAAAUUAUAAAAUUGGGUCUAUCACCUGAAGUGCGCAGACCGUCCAUGCAAUGACCUGCACUCAUCAACUAUUUUUAAUAUGAUUUAUAUUUAUUAAAUUAUAAAAUAACAAAAAAAACCCAAUGAAAUAUACAAAUGCCCUUAGUUUGAACCACAAGUGACUAACUAGAUAUCUCAAUUGAUGAGAAAGCAGACUAGUAAACAGCCAACAGUGGCAGUUCUCCUCAGGCAUUACACCGUGAUGAGUGCGAGACUCUUCAAAAUUAUCACACCGUGAUGAGUGCGAGACUCUUCAAAAUUGAUGAGAAAGCAUAGUAGUCCCUGCUUCUGGAAUGAAUGUAACUCUGGAAUUAUUCCAAAUCCACAAGUUUCAUAAUGUUGUGUUGAUUGUGAGACAUUAUUAUUUCAAAAACUGAAGGGGGAUAAAAUUGCCGAAGAAUUUUAAUUUUAUAAAUUAUUUAAAAUAAAAAAAACAAUAAUCAAAAGAAUAAAAAUCAAAUUCUAAUAAAUAACAAAUUAAAAACAUAUUUUGAAAUUUUGAAGUGCCACAUACGGAAAUCAAGAAAAAAAAAAGUUGUCGAUAACAAACUAAAAACUAUCUGCCACACGUGCCGCCUCAUCCAUGACAGCAAUUGGUCAAUGAACAUCCCUGCACGCACCACCUGAUGUGUGUGGAAUUGCCCACGAACUAACCUGCACUCAUCAACUAUUUGUUUUUAAUAUUAUUUAUAUUUAUUAAAUUAUAAAAUUAGAAAUAAACCACCCUGAUAAAAAAAAAAACCAAUAAAAAUAUACAAAUGUCCUUGGUUUGAACCACAAGCGACUAACUAGAUAUCUCAAUUAAUGAGAAAGCAGACUAGUAAACAGCCAAUUAGAGGAACGCCCUGCUUCUCACGUCUAAUGAAAGCAAUUGAAUGCAGGAAUAGGGCCAUACUCACAAGAAAAUUGAUUUACACCCGACAUAGUACUUUGUAAGUGUAAAAGCUAUAUUUCUGUGUCUAUAAAUAUAAGUAGAUUUUUUUAUGGAAAUAUCUUCUCAAUAAAUAUCAAAAUAUUUAAUAUUGCAAUUCAGAGCAUAUAUCUAACUGUGUUUAAUAAUUUUUUUAUUUGAAUAAAUUUGUAUUUAACCAAAAGAUUAUCCAUGCCGAUAAAACGAUGUCUACCAAAUAUUUUUUUUUUAUUUUGUAUUUUAAAAUAUUAUGAAAUGAGCAUCACUUGCCUAUAUUUAUUUAAUUAAUUAAAUGAAAUGAAAUGAAAAAAAUGUCUAUAAAAAAGAGAAAUUAAAAAAAAACAACAAAUAAAAAUACUCGAGAUAUCCCGAGUCAUUUUCAAAAUAAGUGAAAAAUCUUAUAGAAAGAAAAUAAAAAAAAAUCAAUGGAGCCCAAUAUCUAAUUAAAUAAAUAUUAAAGGAUGAAACUAAAAUAAACAUGAGCUUAAAAAAAGGGAAAAAACCAAGCAAACUCGGGUGAACCUCCUAAACCUGAGUUAAUCUCUAAAACUCCCAACUUAUGAAAUCCUAGACUUGAACUUGAUUAAGAAGCACAAUUCUCAACUAAUUUAAUGUUGAAUAAUGAAAACAGGAAAAAAAAUCAAUUUAAAAAAAAAAUUGCAAAAGUGAAAAAAAAGUUAGCAAUCAAAAGAAUGAGGAAUCAAAUCUGAUAGGAAAAAAAAACUUAUGGAGGAUGAUAUUGUAAAAAAAUAUCAAAUUAAAAAAUUAUCUCAAAUAAAAAAAUAGCAAUCAAAAGAAUAGGAACAAAAUUUGAAAGAUAAAAAAAUUAAAGGGGUAUGAAAUUGUCAAAGAAUUCUAAUUUAAUAAAUUAUUCCAAACAAAACAAAUAAUGAUCAAAAGAACAGCCACCAAAUCUUAAGGAAUAACAAAUUGAAGGCAUGCUUUGAAAUUUUGAAGGGGCACAAGCAAGAAUCAAUGAGAGAAAAAAGUAAGAGAAAGAAAAGGUUGUCGGCACCAAAUUGAACAACCAGUUCACUUGGUAUUACCAAACGGUCGACCGGACCAACUUAAAUUCCAGAUUUUGACAAUUUAAACCUGCUGAAUCUUGAACUGAUACUAAUCCUAUAUACAUGUAGAGUGAAGUGUUUGAGUCAUUUUAAUUGUGCUAUUAAGCUAAAAUAUAAAGAUUUACAAAAUCACUUAAAUGAACAAUUAAUUCUUAGUCUUCACUUGUUUUGCAUCUUGGAUAUCCUCAUUGAUUUUUUCAUGACAUCCUUCAUGCUUGUUGAUGUCAAAACUAAUUUUUGGGUUAUUCCCCACCAUUUUUUACCUUAUUCCUUUUCAAAAUAAAAAUAAAAUAAUAAAAUAAUAAUAGCAAGGAUACUAGCGACGUAGAAAAUGUUGGCUGGGGAAGGAUUUUAAAUAUAGAAAAAUUAAAGUUUUGGAGUCAAUUAAGGGCUGCAUUAAUGAAAUUUUCAGCCAAGAAUCAUUUUGAAAAAGGCAAUUAGGGACUUGAUUGAAGAAAUACAAAACCAAGGACCAAAUUGGAAAAGGCACGUGAAUAUAAGGGUUGAAAUUGACCGAAUCAGGGACCAGAUUGAAGAAAUUGGAAGUUUGUUGAUCAAUUGAAGGUCAAAAUGCACAAAUUCAAAACCAAGGAUCAAAGUGAAAAAGGCAACCAACUUCAAGGCUGACAUUUGAAUUUGAAAAAGAUGCAAUUGAAUUAAUUCUUAAAAUCAAAAUCUAAAUCGAUGACUUAAUUGAACAAAUAAAAAAUUGAGGACUGAUUUGGAGAAAAGCACUUCUUAGGCGCCAUUUUUAUUUAAAUGAAAUGGCGCGUUUUGUACAAAACGAUGCCAUUUCAUGUAUUCUUAUUCCAAAAAGAAAAAAAAAAGACAGCUCAAAAUGGUGUCAUUUUGGAUGGCACUGUACAUCUUCUACUUCCCUAGACGUGCUGUAGGCAGGGGAAAAAGGUUUUUUUCCCCUCCUUUACAGCACCUCCCUCCCUCCCUCCCUCCCUCCCUCUCUCUCUCUUUCUCUCUUUCUCUCUUUUUCUCUCUCUCCCACUUGCCUAAAAACCCUAACACAACCCACACCCCCUCAUGGCCUACCACCAUGAUGAAAGGGGCAGAGGGAACAAGCCUUACAGGCGACUCUAGGGCGGCUACACAGUGGACGCCCUAGCACUACACUACCCCUUCAGCAUGACUAGACAGGGGUAGGGCAGCUCCCCCCCCCCCGCCCUUUAUAAAUACCAUCCGUACCAGGAGGUUGGGGGGCGAAAGAAAGAAAAAGGAAAAAGGAACGAAACAAAAAAGAAAAGGAAAGAAAGAAAAACAAUGGAAAACAAAGGAAAGAAAGGGAAGAAAAAGAAAAACAAAGAAAAAAAAGGAAAGAAAAGAAAGGAACACUCUUUGGCCUCUACUCGGAGAAGAAAAGGAACCUCUUCUCCUCAUCUCUCUUGCUAGUUAGUAGCAGCAGCCACCAUUCCUCCUAGUCGCCACCACAACAAUGCCACCGUCAACAUCAGCAGCCAUGCUACCCUCACUCCAAGUAAUCUUCUUCCCCUCUAUGUAACAUCUUCUUACCUGCUUUCCUUCUUCAUUUCAUUUGCAUGCAGAAUAUGAGCAAUUCACAUUCUGCAUAGUAACUAAUUACUGUGCUAAGCACAGUAACCAUUUAAUGGUUUUUUGGGCUGGGUCUAGCCUUAUAAAAAAAAGAAAAGAAUAUGUUGGGUCGACAUCGGCCCAACUCUUUUGGGCUGACCUCGACCCAAUUUCUUUUGGUUUGUAUUUUUACACUAUAAAUAUACAAAAUUCGUUAUUAAAAUACUUGUUUUUUCUCCAAAAUGUUGCAAAACAAAUAUAUAGAAAAACAACAAAAAACAUUUCUUGUUCUCAUGCAUAUGACCAAGUCUAAAAAAUAUAAGAAAUUUCAUAUUGUAUUUUCAUACAAAAUAAAAUUCAAAAAAAUAUAUGUUAGCAUGCAUUCUAGGCUUUAAUAACCAGUUUAUUAAAGCAAUCAGAACUACGCCUAUAUUUCAAAAAUACUAAAAAAAUAUUUUGUUUUCUUUUAGUAUCUAGGAUUAUAAACUUAUACAUAAGACGUAUUAUGGAUAUUAAAUAAAAAGGUAGUUCUUUUUUUUAUAUGUAUUGACAUUAGAACGGUUAGGUUUUUACCUGAUAAUAUAAGGAUCUCCUUACUAAGGAAGACUUUUCCUAAACCUUAGACUGACCAACAAUUAGAAAACACAACAAUAUGUUAGUUAUAUUAGAUAAUUAAACAAUGCAGAUUACCUUAGAUAAGACGCAUUAAAGGUGCUAAUACCUCAUGUGAAACUUCAGAAAUUUAUAAUUUAGAUAUGUAGAUGACUUGGUGGAAACUCUGUAAAACCCCAACAAAAGACUUCACCAUGAUGAAUUGAAUAAUGAGAAAUAAAAUAUAAAUGGUGGUAAAUUGUAAACCCCCGAUCAAAUUUCAUGAUAUUAAUAAAAUUAUUGAUAAUUCAGAACCCAAAAUGGGAUGAUCUAGUUAAAAUAAAAUAAAAUGGAAUAGUAUUGAAUUAUUAGAAAAGAAAUUUUAGAGAGAGAUUUUUUUUGCAUGGUAUUUUAAAAGUGAGCAGCGAAAAGGCAUUUGGUUGAACGAAAAGAUACCUAAACUUGAUAUAAGGGUGUUUUAGUAAAUAUAGAUAGAUUUGCUAUAUAAAUUGCAAAAUUAUGCAGAAAUUAACUAGGAGUGCCGAAUGAAAGGAAAAGAGAGAGAGAGAGAGAGAGUACCUUGAGAGCAGAAAUUCAAACGGCCAUAUCUCUGAAUUGCACUGUUACAUUGGUUUUUGGGAUAUAUUAUACUUCUCACUACCCUCUAACAUCUAACCAUUGGGAUCUGAAUGUUCUAGUUCGAUGUGAGAGAUAUAGCCCUCACAACAUUUCAAGGAAAAUCUGCUUGCAGGUCAGUCAUGGUCUCUAGCAGUUUCCACCCUUGUCCACUGUUGGAUCCUGCUCAAGUUUGGAUAUAUGGGUCAUAUUGAUGAGCUCUUCAUUAUGAACGGUGGAGAUCAGGAUUAUAGACUCCGAUAAGAAGUUAGUCAUCGAAGAACAAUAUGUUGUCAAUUUUCAGGUCCGUUUUGGUUUUGUCUUGAUCUAGAAAGAUCUAACCGUUACAAUGCUAUGAUUUGUUUAAAUUAGGUUAGUAGAAAUGAAAUGAAUGGAAAGUGUGGUGGCUUAAUUUGUGUUUAACCAUCGAAAGCAUGCUAUUUAUGAUUUAAAUUGAAGAAAAUCCUUAGUGUAUUUCCUUAGGCAUGUUCGGCUAUAUUAUUGAUAGUAGGAAAAGGGAGAUAUUGGUUGUCCAAUCUAUGAAUUGGGACUUAACAGUUUUAUCACCCACCUUUCAGCUGUGGUUAGGGAGCCAAAAUGAUAAAAUUCCAGAUUGGGUUCUUCACAAAGCUUGUAGGUAUAGAUGUUAUCUUUUAAACAAAACUGACCUCGUAUAAUUUGGAGUUAUAAAACUCCAGAUAUGGACUGAAAAUGAAAGAAGGGUCGAACUGUCUUGUACUUGACAGAUUUGGUUGAGUAUUAUAACAGAUAAUUUCGGGGGUGUUAAGGGCAGAAUUGGUCUUCCGAUCCUUUAGUAGAGUUGUAGAACCGUGUCUUACCUUUCCAACAAGCCAAACCACACUUAAAACUGAAUUCUAUAACUUUACUUACGAAUUAAUGAGGUAGUUGAAGGAAAUAAUCGGAAAAUGAAAUCAAAACAUGGUGAUGAAUUAAUUUGAAUGAGAUGGCAAUAGUAUGAGAACACACAUUGUGAUAAAAUUAGAAGAGGGUACUAAUUGUAUCUCUUGAUUCUCAAAUAGAAGAGAUGCCUGGAGUAGGGUCGUCAGGAGUUGAUGGGACUCGAUCGGUUGGGGAAAUAGGUAGGUGCAUCACACCUUGUCUUUUCAUUUUGUGUAAACUCAUUGAUAAAUUUCAAAAUUUACUGUUUUAUUGCGUUGAUAAAUAUUGGAAUGAAUAUGAGUACCUUGUAUAUAUUGAUGUGUAUCAACUAGUUAUUAUAUAAUUGGAAUGGAUACGAGUACCUUACGUACAUUGAUAUGUAUCAAACUUGUGAUGAUAUUAUUAGAAUGAAUAAGAGUACCUUGCGUACAAUGGUAUAGAUCAAUUAGUUAAGAUAAUGUUUGAAUGAAUAUGUAUACCUUGCGUAGAUUGGUAUGGAUCAAGAUCGCUAGGAUAAUGUUUGAACGAACAUGAAUACCUUGUGUACAUUGUUAUGUAUCAAAUUAAUUAUGUUAUUAUUAGAAUGAAUAUGAUUACCUUGCAUACAUUGAUAGUUAUUGAAUUAGCCAUGAUAACUUUGGAAUAGACGUUAUUAUCUUACAUACUUCAGUAUGAAAUAUGUAUACACAAUGACUAGGAGAUUGGAGGAGAAAUGAUAGAUAAUUGGUCAUUGUAGUGUCGGUCGCUAAUGAUACGUUAUGAUGAUACUUAGCACCAUGAUGAGGGUGGUUAAGGGCAUAAAUUGAUGCUUGGCACUGUGAUGAGGGUGACCAAGGUUAUGUGAAUGAUGCUUAAUGAUCGUAGUGUUUGUUACAAUGUAUAUGAUGUUAAUAAGAAGAAUAAAAGGGAAUCGGUACAAAUAGAAGGUUGAGAAGACAUUGAUUAGCUAUCUAGGUUUGGAUAGCUAAUGGUAUCGAUGAGGUUCCAUUGGUACCGACAUUUCAGAUGACAUUAAUUAGCUAUCCAGGUUUGGAUAGCUAAUUGUAUUGAUGAGGUUCCAAUGGUACCGACAUUUCAGAUGACAUUGAUUAGCUAUCCGGGUUUGGAUAGCUAAUGGUAUCGAUGGGGUUCCAUUGGUGUCAGCGUUCCUUAAAUUGAUUAGUCAAUCCCGAGUAAUUAGGUGACUAAUGAUGUUAGUAAAGAUUUAUAACAUCGGCAUGGUUACUCCUGGUUAAGGGAAAAAAAUAAGUUGAUUAAUUAUUCUAGGUCGUGAAUAGUUAAUUAUAUCAAUCGGUCCUAUUGGUAUCGACAACCAUUUCUGGUGUAAUUAGCUACUCCAGGUAAGGAGGCUAAUGAUGGCAAGGGUUCUUGACAUUGACAACUUUGAUGGUAAACCAGAUAUGAAUAAGAAUUGAUUAACUAUUUUAGGGUAGAAAUAAUUAAUGAUAUCAAUUAGUUGUAUUGAUAUCGACACUUAAAUGGAAUUGAUUUGUCUAACCCGAUAUUGGGAGACUAAUGAUACUAAUGAGAUUCAAUAGUAUCGGCAAUUACCUUCCGAAAAAUGAAAGAGAAAAUAUUGAUUAGUUAUUCCAAAAGAAUGAGAUAAGCUAAUGAUACCAAGAGAGGAAUAUCUUGAUAUCAAGUGAGAAUUGAUUCAUAAGGAGAUGGUGUUCGAAACUAUUGAGUUGUAUUGAGAUUUCCAAGAUGAAAUUAUUUUCGGCAAAUGGGAUAGGAUAUUAGAUGGAUAUUGGUAAUAGAUGGAAAAUAUAUGUUGUAAAAGUGGUCUAUGCCUAAUUUUAUGUAUCAAAAGAAAUUCUAUAUAAAUGAUUACAUGUCAUUGUUAUUGUUUGUUACUACCUUUUUAUAUUUAUAUGUACAUGUUAAUUUUUAUUUCCAGGUUCAUUAGGGUCGCGUCAAGAGUUAUCUUAGUUUAGUUACCUUUUGCUUUCGGCCAUGUAAUGAUUUGUAAAUUAAGAGACUUCUCUCCUAAAACUUGAAAUGUAAUAUUAACCCGUACAUUUGGAUGUAUGACUUUAAUCUAAUGUUUGUAAUUCUAAGUACCUAUUUAACCAUGCAUGUUUAUAGUUGUAAUCGAAUCCUUCACUUGAAUAACAUUUUAUGAUGUUAUUAUGCAAGAUAUAGUUUAUAUGAUGUAACAAUUGAAUUAUGCAUUGUUAUUUUGUGAACUUGAAUUGUAUAAUGUUAUUGAAUAAGAUGUGUUGUGUUGGUGAUGAUGAGUUGAGUUAAGAUCCAGGAUGAUUGGAUCAGAUUGUGAAAUGAAAUUGGAAGUGUAAUAUGAAUUUGUCGAUAACUUGGGACCUCCCUGUAUAGAGGAGACUCUGCUAAAAUUUUGGUAGAAAUUUUGAUGGAACUUGUAUAUAAAAAUAACAAUGAUGAAAAAAAAUCAGGGUUGUUACACCUUCUCUUCACGCAACCAGUCCCCAUGUCAGAUCUCUGAGACCAGUUAGGGUUCCUAGUGAUCAAAAUACUAUGUGGCAACUCUCAUUCCCUCUUUCCACUAAUAAAGGACAAGAAUUCCUUGUCUUUCCCAUUUCCCAACCCGAGAGGAUGUUAGCCGUGAUGUCACACACGUGCGACAACCAUCAACAACUCUUGUGAGCCACCAAGAAUCUCCAUUGUGUAUAUAACAACCAACCACAUAACUCAGGAAGCUCUGACUAGUACUAGCAACUUCAAACUAACCACUUACCCUCUCCCAUGGUGACUGUAGCACCUAUAAGCAGUAGAGAGAAGAAUUAAAGAGAAAGAGGAAUUACAAUAGAAAUAGAACAAAGUAGAAAUUUCAACUCAGCCGAUCUUCUUUCUCUGGUUGUUGUGAGCCUCACCAUUGGGGUUAGCAGGAAGAGGAAGGACUGAUCUACCAUACUGAGGUCCUCACACGAUUUGAGGUCUCGUCAGCAUGACGCGCCAACAUUGGCAGUUCUCUUCUAGGGCGUGCAACAGACACAAUGCCAUUGAUCAACCUACUUCCAAUAGAUUCCAAACAUCUUUAGGCAUUCUCAAAGGUGAAAUAUUAAUGUUAAGAUUGAAAUUUGUUAAUGUUGUUUGGUUUUAUGAACAUAAUUUUGAGGUGAUGAGAAAGUUGUUUGAUUUGGAGUUUUGUUAUAAAUAUAAUAUGAUAUAAGUAUCAUGUGAAAAUAAUAAAUGAGCAUUAUUGAUUUCGAUUGUUUGAUUAAAAAAUAAUUGAAAAGUAUGAAUUGUGAUUUUGAAGAUAUGAUAGACAACAUGUACAUUUUUUUAUAAAAGAAAUGUUGAUUAGAAAUUGUUUGUUAAUUGGCUAUGUCCAUAUAAAAAAUAAAAAACAUGCAAAAUGUGUGAGAUAUUUGUUUUUGGAAGUUAGUUGGAUGAAUAUUAUAAGAUGGUUGAAUAUAACCAUAAAAUUUAAAAUUUGAGAAUUUUUAGAUCAUUGUGAAAAUUCUUGCAAUGAAUAUAUAUGGACCGAUUAUUUUUAUAAAAAUAACGAUUGAUUAAUUAACCCAAGAUUGUAUGGUCUAACCUUAGGCUUUAUCUUUCAGGUGUUGAUUAAUAAAGAAAAAGGAAAAGAAAAAGAAAAAGAAAAAGAAAAUUGUCCUUGUAUUGAUUGUUCUUAUUAAUUGAUUAAUUAAUCCAAGAUGGAAUGGUCUUCUACUAGGUCCUCUCUUUCAGAUGUCGGUUAUCGAGUAACAAGAUCAAUUAAUAUUUGAUCGAUGAAUUAACUGUUUCUAUUAAUUACUAAUUGACCCAUGAUGAUAUGAUCUAAUAUUGGGUUAUGUUCUUCUAGUGUCGAUAAGUGAAUAAUAGCACCAAUUAAUACAUGAUCUCUAGGAUAUUAACCAAUAAAAUUAAGUAGCCCAAGAUGGAAUGGUCUAAUAGCGGGCCCUGUUCUUUGAUUGCUACAUAAUGAAUAAUAUGAAUUUUUCAACCCGCAAUAAGCCUCAUAUAUAGGUGUGCUCAUCAUUUGCAAAUAACUGAGGAUAGAAAGGUCCAAUAGUAGAACUUGUCCUUUAAAUGUUUUCUAAUAGAUAAUAAGAACUAUACAUCGAAUAACAUACAUACUAGUUUAGGUGAACCAAAAACAAAACACAUUUAUCAUUAAAAACAAACAACAAUGCAGCUUACCUUGAGUAGGAUGUAUAGGGUUAUGUCUAUAUUACCUAAUACAUAACCAACCCCUUACCUAGAACUUCUAAAGAUCAGUUAGGAUUUCUAGUUACUAUAAAUCUAGGUGACGACUUUUUUUCACAUAGCUCGCCUCGAUGUUCACAUGCAACACAAGUUUGAGCAAGUGAACCGAGUUACAUGUUGACCCUUUAAGUCACUCGAGUUUGACUGGAUCAUUGUCCACUUCUGUUCAGAAGAAAAUCAAAACAAAACAAGGUUUUGGGUCAACGAAUCAGGAAUGCAUCCUGUUGGACUAGACCAAGUUUAAUGACUAUGACUUACAUAACUUCUCGUAGAAAUUGCACUUGGAUCUAAGUUUUUUGAGGUAAAAAAAUAUUAUAAAAAUAGCACAAUUAAUUAGUUGCAUUGUUAGGAACGAUUCAACCAUAUAAAUUACGUUGUUCUCAACCAUACAAUUCAAUAUGCUACACUAUUAAGAAUAUCGUAAACCUUGUCAUAAUCCAUUUUUUGGUUAUUCCCAAAAUUCACUUUUUCUCUUCCAAAAAAUGAAACAAAAUAUUAAAAAAAAAAUCUAAAAAAUAAUAACAGUGAGAAGAGGCUGUCAGAGCGCCCUGAAAAUAGCUAAAAAUUGGUUGAGGAGGCUCAAAAAUUCAAAGAUUAAAAUUUGACAGUAUAUUUUACAGAUGAAGAGCCCUGUUGACAAAGAAAAAUUCAAUUUGAGGAAAAAGUCCAAAAUCAGAUGUUUAUGGACUCAAUUAAAUUUUAUUGGAGGUUUAAUUGAAUUUAUAUAGGGUUUGAUUACAAGAAAAAAUUAUUUAAAGUCAAUUUAGGCUUUAAUUGGAGGAAAUUAAGGUUCUGGGUCAAAAUACAAUUUUUUAGAGUUGAUUUGGUCAAAUCAGGGGCUUAAUUGAAUAGAUAUUGAAGUUUGAUGGCCAAUUAGGGACUUGAUUGAAGAAAUCCAAAACCAAGGACCAAAUUGAAAAAGGCGCGUAAAUAAAGGGACUGGAAUUGACCAAAGCAGGGGUCAAAUUAAAGAAAUUGGAAGUUUAUUGAUCAAUUAAGGGUCAAAUUGCAUAAAUCCAAAACCAAGGACCAAAGGAAAAAAUGCGCCGAAAUCUGGGGUUUAAAUUGAAGUUCUUCAUGGGUAAAAUUGAACAAAAUUAAAAGUUUAAAGCCAAUCAGGGGUGUUGAUAGAAAUUAAUCACAAAUUGAAGGACUAAAUCGUAAGAUACUAUUCAUCUUCUUCUCCAGCUAGGCUGGUUGGGUGGCCACCUUCCCAAGGCAUUUGGCGCCUCGUUUCUUCACCAAAUUGGAUGAAACGUACAAGAAAACAAUCCUGUGAUACCUGACUACACGCUAGUGUAAGACGUUCGGGUUGAUCGAGGCUGUAGAGGCGGUGGCACCGCCCCAAAGUGGCCAACCCGACCAGCCAUUUUUCCUGCAAACUGACAGUUCAUCAUUGCUACUUUGAGCUAAUGGUUGGGAUGCUUUCGGGUUGAGCCAAUGGUUGGGAUGCUUUCGGGUCGAACCAAGAGCUGAGAUUUUGCACCAGAAGAGACAAAGUGUCCCUCUUCCGCCACCUAUAAAUAGAUUUUAUCUUCAUGCUCAGGGGGUGGAGAAAUAUGGGUCCAAAGACAGCAAAAAAACCAGCCUUCCUCCCAAGAAUUUUUUCUUUUCUGCCGUCUGCCUCUUCACACUCUCUCUCUCUACGCCGUCCAGGCCACCACUGUCAUCACCGUCAGCUUUUAAGCCACCAUCUCCACCACAGGAAGCCAACACAGCCACCACCGCUUGCACCACGCUGUCCUCCGCCACUGUCAGAACCACCGCAGGUCAGCCUUCCCCCCCUUCUUCUUCUUCUUCUUCUUCAUCCCAGCUGUUCACUGCGUGAACAGUAGACGUGAAUUAAUUCAAUAGGCGUGAACAGUAGGCGGCCCAAUCACAAAAAUUUUCAAAAAAAUAUUUUAAAUUUUUAUACCGUAAAGAUACAAAUGCGAUAUUAAAAUACCCGGUUUUCUUCAUAACAUUGCAAAAAAAUUUAUAAAACAAAAAAAUAUUUUGUUUUCAUGCAUACAGCCAAGUCUCUCCAAGAUAAAAAAAAACAAUUAUAUCAUUUUUUCUUAUAAAAAAAAAUAUAAAAAUAUAAAAUAUGUUUUAGCAUGCAUUUUGGCUUUAAUAACAAGUUUAUUAGAGCCAUGAGAACUAGGCCAAUAUUUAAAAAAAACCCAAAAAAAAAAUUUUGUUUUCUUUUAAUAUCCGGGAUUAUGAAUUUAUACGUAAAGCAUACUUCUGAUAUUAAAAAGUUAGUUUUUUUAUUUGACGUUAGCACAGUUAGAUUUUUACCCGAUAAGAUAAGGACCUCCUUACCGAGGAGGACUUUUCUUGAGGCAUAGAUAGACCAAAAAUUAGAGAACACAAUAAGACCUUAGUUUUUAUCAGACAAUAAAACAAUGCAACUUACCUUAGGUAGGACGUAUUUGGGUACUAAUACCUUCCCUUUACGCAUCCAGUCCCCGUACCCGAUCUCUGAGACCAAUUAGAGCUCCUAGUGACCAAAAUACUAGGUGGCGACUCCCAUUCAAUUUUUUCCAUUGAUAAAAGACAAGAAUUCCUUGUCUUCCCAUGUUAGUUGUAGUGAAAUUAAAGUUCAAUAAAAUUCUUUAACUUUAUAGGUUAAUUAAUAAUUAUCAAUGAAAAUAAUUAGUUGUAGUCGAUAUAAAUUUUCUUAACUUGGUUAAUUAAUAAUUAUCAUAAUUAUCACACCAUGACAAAUGCGAGACUCUUCAAAAUUGAAGGAAAAAAAAAUAAUGAAGUCACCACCUAGUAAUAAAAAAAAACUAGAAAUCCUAAAAUAGACACCGGUCAGUAGGUAUUGAGUUAGUUAUACCUAAGGGAAGAUCGAUGUCACCCUUACCGCAUCCUUUCAAACGAAAGCUUACCUCCACAAUGUUUUGUUCUAAAUUUAUUCUAUGCAUACUAUUAAUUAUCUAAAUCUAUUUUUAUUUUUAUAUUAAUAAAAAAUUAAUGUUGGUCCCUAAGAAAAGAAGACUCGACGAUAAAAGAAAAUCUUGACGUUAAUCCCUAAAAAUAGAUAAUUUCAUCGAUUUAGAAAAAAAUAUUAAUGUUAAUCUCUACUGUAUGUUUUUUAAAACACCUCCACACACAAAACCCUUCAUACUGAAAAACUAAACAUAUAAGAAAAAUCAAACAUCCACAUUAAAAUUUCAUAACUGAGGGCAUCAUACCCCACAAGUUGCCACACCACAGUGUAAAUCCCAACGCUUUAAAUAUCGCAAACAUUCACAUUAAUACAUGAUUAGUCUCAAUCAAUAAGCAUUUCAUCAUAAUGUCUAACAACAUAAUAAAAAAUUAUUCAAAAAAUUAAUUUAGGCCUCAACAACCUUUUAGAGUGGCUAAAGUUAAUCAAAACAAUUGGAAUUGGGUGAAGAAACUAUUAGAUUAUUGAGGGCAAUAUUGGCAUAUGACAACCACGUGCUAGUGUGUGAUAACAAUUAUUGGUGGUAUCUCGUCCCAUGCGCCAAUGAUGGUCACAGAGGUGGUUAGCUAGAUCGGGUGUGCCACUAUAUUCUUUUCUCUUCCACAUUGGUGGUGUAGUCCACCACUCUUUGACGAGGGAGAUUGAGCCACUUGAACAUUUAAUUUCUCUCUCUUGUUUUCCUUCUCUCCCCACCUCUACUUCCACUGUUACUACCUUGCUACUACUAGUUAAGAAGCUAUUGUGAUGAUGUUGGAAAGAGAUUACAACAUUGAUAGUGGUGUUUUGUUUUGGUAAGUGAGAUUGAUGUUUUUCUCUAUUUUUGGGUCCCUGGAUAAAAAGGAGAAAAAAGAAAAAAAUCAAGAAAAAAAUUGUUGCAAGAAAACCAAAAAAAAUAUAUAGCAGUAAGAAGAAGACAUGGGGGCGCCCAAAAAUGGCCAAAGAUUGGUUAAGGAAGUUCAAAAAUACAAAGAUUGAAAUUUGACAGUAUAUUAUUGAUUGAUGAAGGCCAUAUUAACAAAGAAAAUUGAAUUUGAGGAAGAAAAGUCUAAAAUCAGAUGUUUAAGGACUCAAUUAGAUUUUGUUGAAAGAUUAAUUGAGUUUACGAAGGUGAUUGCAAGAAAAAUUAAUUUUUAAGUUAAUUUUGGUUUUAAUUGGAAGAAAUUAAAGUUUGAGAGUCGAAUUAUAAUUUUUAGGUGUUAAUUUGAUCAAAUCAGGGGUUUAAUUGCAUAAAUAUUGAAGUUUGAUGGGCAAUUAGAGACUUGAUUGAAGAAAUCCAAAACCAAGAACCAAACUGGAAAAGGUGCAUGAAUAUAAGGGCUGAAAUUGACCAAAUCAGGGGUUAAAUUGAAGAAAUUGAAAGUUUUUUUUAUCAAUUGAUGGUCAAAAUGCACAAAUUCAAUACUAAGGACUAAAGAGAAAACGAUGGCCAACAUCAGAGGUGACCUUUGAAUUUGGCAAGGAUGCAAUUGAAUUAAUUCUUAAAAUCAAAAUUCCAAUUGAGAACUUGAUGAAUAAAUAAAAAGCUAAGGACUGAUUUGGAAAUUGAUACAUUUUGGUGCCAUUUUCAUUUAAAUGAAACGACGCAUUUUGUACAAAAUAACGUUGUUUCAUUCACUGUUCAUAUAUAAAAAAAGAAGCUUGUUUUGAACUGCAUUGUGCAUCUUCUUCUUCCCUUGACGCGCAAAGGCAGGGGAAGAAAGUUUUUCUUCCCCUUACUUUCUUCCCCUUCUUUGCAGUGUCUCCCCUCCCUCUUGCCCAAAAACCCUGACAUAACCCACACCCCCUCAUGACCUACCACCAUGAUGAAAGGGGCAGGGAAGACAAGCCCUGCAGGUGACUCUAGGGUGAUUGCACAGAGGCCGCCCCAGCCACCCUACCCCGUCACCAUGACUAGACAGGGGUAGGGUCGCUCUCACUCCCCUACCCCUUAUAAAUACCCCCUCACCACGAGGUGAGGAGGGAGAAAAAAUAGGGGGAUGAUGAGAACAAAAGAAGAAGAAGGAAUGGAAAAAAAUAAAAAGUAGGAGAGGGAAGGAAAAAAACGAAAUAGAAAAAAAUAGAGAAUAGAGUUUGUUGGGCCGAAAUCGGCCCAAGUUUGUUGGGCCAACCUCGGACCAGUUUGUUUGAGCCAAAUCUCGGCCCAACCAGGGUGGGUUCAGCCCACAUCAUUGGGCUGGGCCCAACACAAUAUAUUUUUAUAAUAUAAUAUUAAUAUUAUAUAUUAUUCAAAAAAACAAAAUGUUCCAAGAAUUUUCAAAAAAACUUUUCAAAACAUUUGUGAUUUUCUCGUGUAUUUUUCUAUCAAUUUUAAUUAAUAUUGGUUGAUAUUUUUAUAUUGUAAAAAUACAAAUCUGGUAUUAAAAUACACAGUUUUCUCCGUAAAUGUUGUGUGUGUGUGUAUUUGAAAAACAAAACAAAUGCUUUGUUUUCAUGCAUAUGACCAAGUCUCUCAAAAUAUAAAAAAAUAUUUCAUAUCAUAUUUUCAUGCAAAUAAUUUUUUUAAAAAAAUACGUGUGAGCAUGCAUUUUGAGCUUUAAUAACUAGUUUAUUAAAGCCAUGAGAACUAAGCUCAUAUUUCAAAAAUAUCAAAAAAAAAUAUUUUGUGUUUCUUUUAGUUUCUGAGAUUACAAACUUUUAUAUAUAGACAUUAGAACAAUUAGGUUUUUACCAAUAUUAAAAAUAUAGUUCUUUUAUAUAUAGAUUUUAGAAUGGUUAGGUUUUUACCCGAUAAGAUUAGGAUCUCCUUACUGAGGAGAUCUUUUCUUAAACCUUAGACAAACCAACAAUUAGAAAACACAACAAUACUCUAGUUAUAUCAGACAAUCAAAUAAUGCAUCUUACCUUAGGUAAGGAGUAUUAGAGGUGUUAAUACCUUCCGUUUACGCAACCAGUCUUCGUGCCCAAUCUCUGAGACCAGUUAGGGUUUAUAGUGAUCAAAAUACUAGAUGACGACUCUCAUUUCCUCUUUCCACUAAUAAAGGACAAAAAUUCCUUAUCCUAUCCAUUUCCCCACACCACAUGCCAAUAUGGAAUUUCAGGAGGAUGUUCGCGCGAUGUUGCAUCAUGUACGACAAUUGAGAAAAGGGAUGGUUGGAUUUUGGUCUCGACAUGAGUUGUUUUGGUUGUGAUAUUGGUGAUCAAUGUUGCUAUUAUCAUUAUUAGUGUAUGUCAUUGGAAGCUGCUAUCAGUGGUCGGUGAAUUAAGUGUUCUACUAUUAAUAACAAAUGUUGAAAUUAAUUCAAUUAAACAUAAUUAACGAACAAUAUAAUUAAAUUGCAUAAAGUAAAGUGUAAAAGGAUAGGAAUUGUAAACUCAGUUUUUAACAUGGUUUUGGCAAGUCUAUAUCCACACCUCAAGCUCCUAAAUUAGUCUUGUGUAUUUUGUUCUUUCACUAGUCCAAGUUGAAGAUUACAAUUGUCACUUGAUGAAUCCACACCAAGAUUUUACACCACUUGAAGAUAUUUUUUUAUGACAGUUUGAACCCGCUGAAUCUUGAACCGAUACUAAUCCUAUAUAUAUACAGAGAAGUGUUUGAGUUCAUUUUAAUUAUGACAUUAAACUAAAAUAUAAAUAUUUAUAUAAUUACUGAAAUGAACAAUUAAUUCUUAGAUUCUCAUUUCAUCUUCAUUUUCUUUGGUGGCUAGGUUUUAGAGAAGAAGAAGACUUUUUUUUCUACACUUUCACUCCAUUUUGUUUCUUUCUCUAUCUUAAAUUUUUCUUCAAGGUUUGCUAGGGUUUCUUACCCACUUUUUGAUUUCCCUCUAAUUUUUCUAUAGAGGCUAGAGUUUUUUUUUACACCUCCUCCUUUUUCUUACCUUGCCUUUCUAUUUAUAGGCCAUGGGGUAGGUUCUAGAAUCUUUAUAGGUAGAACAAUCAUAUUCUUUGAUUUUUUUCGGUACAUUUGACCCUUCAUCAUUGUUGUAUAUUUGGCACAACAUGCUCGUGUUCUAUAAAGCUCACACCAAAUCUUAAUCAUAAAGAGUGGGAAUGAGAGAGAGAAAAAAGAAGAAGAAGAAGAAGAAAAUGGGGCUGAAAAACUUCACUGCCAUUUUUCAAAAUCAGACGACCCGUUUCCUUUCAAAGGGUAGCCAAAAAGUUCCCAUACACACCCAUUAGCGAGCUUCUUCUUUACCAAAAAAAAAACUAAAAAAAUUAGAUCAUCAUUUUCAAACCACCUUCUAGCUAGAACUGGAAACAAAAAAACAGUACAGACUCUCUCAUCAGCGCUGUCUCUUUACGCCACCCUCGAGUUACUACUAUCUUGCCCCACGUUGACUCAAGGAACCAUAGCCGCUGCUUCCACAGUACCGUUAACCUGAGGUGUUCAUUACCGGAAUCAUAACACAAGGCAGGCCAGGAGCCCACUCACAUCGUCCAUGUGCAUCUUCAGCGUGCUCGUUUUACAUUCUUGCCUCUGACCUCUCUGGACUUAGCUUUAUUCAAGCACUAGCCACUCAAAAAAAGAGUGAAGAUGAGGUACGGGAUAUCCAGUGGAGCUGUCUCCAUCAUAAUCACUCAAGGUAUAAAGCUUCUACCUAUUCUCAUGUAGUUGUAAUCUUUUACAUGUGCAUGCUACUGCAAAGGCAAGCUCCCGUUUUUCCUUUAUGUGCUAUGAAGUUAACAUAUAGUGUUGUAAGGUGUGUGGAUCGUCUUUUAAGUCCUAACCUGGUCACGGGUGUUCUUUCACUUGCUACGGGUACUGAAGGGGAUGGGGUGUGAUUUUUCCUUCAAGCGCAUAUGGUCUUGAAAACUUGAUUGCAUGUCCUAAGUUCAUGUUAAGACCUUGCCUAGUUAAUUAAGAAUGCUCUUACCCAAGGUUAAAGUUCAAGAACGGUAUGAGAAUGCUCUCUCAUUUUAUUUAGAUCGCUCAUUGAUUAUAAUAUUGUUGACUUAUUUUAUUAGAUUUUAAUGUAAUUUAAUUUCUUGACUAGAAUUAUCAGUAUAUAAUUAGUUAAAAAAUUAUUUAUGAUUUUAUGAUUUUACGAUCUGAGUUUAUUUUAUAUUUUUCGUGUCGUGUCAAAAAAUAUUUUUGACAACCUUGAACCCAGGAUCUUGACUUUAUUGAUCCACAAUCCCCAAACCAUAUUCGCAAACUAAAACUUUUUUUAUAUAGUUUAAAACAAGCACCUCGUGCAUGUAUUGAUUGCUUAGUGAAUUCUUAGUUUCUCAAUGGAUUUUAUAUUCGUAAAUUUUUAAGUGAACCCAGGUUAUAUUAUCAUGAUAACUAAAAUAAAAUGAGCUAAAUUUAUUUAUAAAAUGAGCACCACACGCUUAGAUUUAAAUUCCAUAGAAAGAUUAGCACCUGAUGACAAGUUAACUCGGGAAACAAAGGUAAUAACAAUGUUUUGAGAUUGAAUUCGACACUAGGUCUACUUAGUAGUUAGUACAUAUAAGUUGAAGGAUUGCUACCUUGACCAAUGAACUGAAAAUAUCUUUAAUUUAUAAUGAAUGGCAUACACCAUACAGUUUUACCAUAUCAACAGCAUGAAAAUUGAUAAUCGAUCCUUUAGGGAUAUUAUUCCAUUUCUUUAUUAAUUAUCAUAAAAACAUUUAUUAAAUGUGUUGUCCUCCAACUCUUUCCAUAAAAAGAAAGAGUUGUGAACCACAACAUACAUUUGAUCAUGGACAAAAGGUAAUCAAAUAGUUGCCUCCACUAGGACAAGUAAACGUGCUCGAUUUAUCAUCAAAAGCAUAACUAUAAGCUUGAGGACACUGCUGCUUGAAAGUCAUCGAAUAUUGGGUAGGAGGACAUGUUUCAGCUGUAUUAUGGUCUCCUGUGCAGCAGUACUGCGGCUGGUUAAAUGCCAAACACGCACUCUUGCAGGCAAUCACAGUCCCAUCUGAACCUUUCACUGCUAAACUAGGAUCACAAACAGCAUUCACGUUAGCUGCACAGCUUGUAGAAGGGCAGCCAGUAGAACCUCCUUGCGGGGUUACCGAAAUUGGGAGGUUAAAGCCAUCAACAAGGCUUAUAUCGUAAUAAUCUUUCCCACCAUCACCGCUUAGAGUAAAUU